UGCCAGCAGCCGCGGUAAUACUGAAGGUGCAAGCGUUAAUCGGAAUCACUGGGCGUAAAGCGCUCGUAGGUGGCUUUGUAAGUCAGAUGUGAAAGCCCACGGCUCAACCGUGGAAUUGUAUUUGAUACUGGCGGGCUAGAGGACGGUAGGGGUGAGUGGAACUCCAGGUGGAGCGGUGAAAUGCGUAGAUAUCUGGAGGAACACCAGUGGCGAAAGCGGCACACUGGGUCUUAACUGACGCUGAGGCACGAAAGCCAGGGGAGCGAACGGGAUUAGAUA
rnacentral:rRNA from 1 species